rnacentral:lncRNA from 1 species
UUCUUUAUAGUAGACUUGGAAAUUGAUAUAUCGAGAACAUCACAGACUUCCACCAAUUUUUCUUUGAAACACUUGUCAAGUUUCUCUUUUAGCUUCCUCAUUUGCUUUUCUUAAAACACGCAUAUUGAAAAUGCUGAGCUAUGCCUAUGUUUCAAAGAAGUUAUAAAUAGAUAUUGCACAAUCACCAGAUAACUAGAUAUAAUCUCUUCUUUACCUCAUCAUCAUGCCACACAAAUCCAGAAAAUUUAGAUAUGCUGCUUUUGAUAUCAGCUGCCUGCAGAAUUAGAUAGAAGUAUAGGCAUGAGUCAAAUAUCAGAAGUUAUCAACAAAAGCAUGAAAUGGACCCAACUACAGCAUAUCAUCAUUUUACAGUUGCCAGAAAAGCACGUUUGGAGCACCAAAUUUACUUUAAAUACCGAAGUAAAUUGGCAGGAGGUGGCAAAAGGUGGGUGAAUAUUGUUGCUAACAUCAUUUGCUUAUGCAAACUCACGAUUAUAUAACUCAACUUCAAUAUCAACAUCAAACAAAAAUAAUAGAAAAUAACAAUUAAAAAAAAUGGUCCAAAAAUUAAGUACUUAGGAGCCAAAUGUUUGCAAUUAAAAUUAAUUGUGACUUAUUUGCUUUGGUAAUAUUACCAUAAUAUUCAAAACGCAUUAAAGUAUCAGAAGACACGAUAUGCUUAACAAAUUCAAACCAUAAAUUUUUUCAAAUGCACGACAUGACAUAGCACCGAUAAAAUUUCCCAUACUGUCAAACAUCGUGCAACUCACAAAUUUCACUUUUAUAAUAUGAAACAGCAAGGUAAAUGCAUAAAAGACCUAAUAAUAUCAUCGGCAGAAUAGAUACACACCACUCUCUGGGAAUGUAGAGAUCCAUAUUUUGUCCCUCCUUGUUCUGUAUCUUGGCAAGUUGUUCAACUACAAACAAAGGUCAAGCACUUGGAUCCAAAACAAACCAAUUAACUGACCAAUUAUGUCCAAUAGGGUCUGUCCAGAGAAAUUCCCAAAAUUAAUCAUAUACACUUUGACUUAAAAUUUAAAUAUUAUAAUUUGAUGUUACAAUUAUGACUUUAAAAAUAAAUGCACAAGGAUCUAAUGUACAGCCCCACCAAAAAUCCCUAACUGGUCGACGGUAAAUCUU